rnacentral:rRNA from 1 species
UACGUAGGGGCCUAGCGUUGUCCGGAUUUAUUGGGCGUAAAGAGCUCGUAGGCGGUUUGGUGAGUCGGGUGUGAAAUCUCCACGCUCAACGUGGAGGGGCCACCCGAUACUGCCAUGACUAGAGUCCGGUAGGGGAGUGUGGAAUUCCCGGUGUAGCGGUGAAAUGCGCAGAUAUCGGGAGGAACACCAGUAGCGAAGGCGGCCCUCUGGUCCAUUACUGACGCUGAGGCGCGAAAGCUAGGGGAGCAAACGGG